CGAAUGCUGACAUAAGUAACGAUAAAGCGGGUGAAAAGCCCGCUCGCCGGAAGACCAAGGGUUCCUGUCCAACGUUAAUCGGGGCAGGGUGAGUCGACCCCUAAGGCGAGGCCGAAAGGCGUAGUCGAUGGGAAACAGGUUAAUAUUCCUGUACUUGGUGUUACUGCGAAGGGGGGACGGAGAAGGCUAUGUUGGCCGGGCGACGGUUGUCCCGGUUUAAGCGUGUAGGCUGGUUUUCCAGGCAAAUCCGGAAAAUCAAGGCUGAGGCGUGAUGACGAGGCACUACGGUGCUGAAGCAACAAAUGCCCUGCUUCCAGGAAAAGCCUCUAAGCAUCAGGUAACAUUAAAUCGUACCCCAAACCGACACAGGUGGUCAGGUAGAGAAUACCAAGGCGCUUGAGAGAACUCGGGUGAAGGAACUAGGCAAAAUGGUGCCGUAACUUCGGGAGAAGGCACGCUGAUAUGUAGGUGAAGUCCCUCGCGGAUGGAGCUGAAAUCAGUCGAAGAUACCAGCUGGCUGCAACUGUUUAUUAAAAACACAGCACUGUGCAAACACGAAAGUGGACGUAUACGGUGUGACGCCUGCCCGGUGCCGGAAGGUUAAUUGAUGGGGUUAGCGGUAACGCGAAGCUCUUGAUCGAAGCCCCGGUAAACGGCGGCCGUAACUAUAACGGUCCUAAGGUAGCGAAAUUCCUUGUCGGGUAAGUUCCGACCUGCACGAAUGGCGUAAUGAUGGCCAGGCUGUCUCCACCCGAGACUCAGUGAAAUUGAACUCGCUGUGAAGAUGCAGUGUACCCGCGGCAAGACGGAAAGACCCCGUGAACCUUUACUAUAGCUUGACACUGAACAUUGAGCCUUGAUGUGUAGGAUAGGUGGGAGGCUUUGAAGUGUGGACGCCAGUCUGCAUGGAGCCGACCUUGAAAUACCACCCUUUAAUGUUUGAUGUUCUAACGUUGACCCGUGAUCCGGGUUACGGACAGUGUCUGGUGGGUAGUUUGACUGGGGCGGUCUCCUCCUAAAGAGUAACGGAGGAGCACGAAGGUUGGCUAAUCCUGGUCGGACAUCAGGAGGUUAGUGCAAUGGCAUAAGCCAGCUUGACUGCGAGCGUGACGGCGCGAGCAGGUGCGAAAGCAGGUCAUAGUGAUCCGGUGGUUCUGAAUGGAAGGGCCAUCGCUCAACGGAUAAAAGGUACUCCGGGGAUAACAGGCUGAUACCGCCCAAGAGUUCAUAUCGACGGCGGUGUUUGGCACCUCGAUGUCGGCUCAUCACAUCCUGGGGCUGAAGUAGGUCCCAAGGGUAUGGCUGUUCGCCAUUUAAAGUGGUACGCGAGCUGGGUUUAGAACGUCGUGAGACAGUUCGGUCCCUAUCUGCCGUGGGCGCUGGAGAACUGAGGGGGGCUGCUCCUAGUACGAGAGGACCGGAGUGGACGCAUCACUGGUGUUCGGGUUGUCAUGCCAAUGGCACUGCCCGGUAGCUAAAUGCGGAAGAGAUAAGUGCUGAAAGCAUCUAAGCACGAAACUUGCCCCGAGAUGAGUUCUCCCUGACUCCUUGAG
rnacentral:rRNA from 1 species